rnacentral:SRP_RNA from 1 species
CCGUGCUAGGUGGGGAGCUAGCGGUUCCCUGCACCCGCAAUCCGCUAUAGCGGGGCUGAAUUCCCGUCCGAGGCACCGUCGCGCAGCCUCCGGCCUGUGUGCGCAGCGACGAGGGCUGGGUCCUGUGCAACGAGGAUCUGGCCAACCCCGCCAGGUCCGGAAGGAAGCAACGGUACGUCAGCGUUCUCGUGUGCCGCGGGGAUACCUGGUCGGAGCCGGCGGCGCUGGUCGGGCUGGGCGAAUGGUGACGACGGCGGGUGCACGG